rnacentral:rRNA from 1 species
AUUGAACGCUGGCGACAGGCCUAACACAUGCAAGUCGAGCGGAUGAUGGGAGCUUGCUCCUGGAUUCAGCGGCGGACGGGUGAGUAAUGCCUAGGAAUCUGCCUGGUAGUGGGGGACAACGUUUCGAAAGGAACGCUAAUACCGCAUACGUCCUACGGGAGAAAGCAGGGGACCUUCGGGCCUUGCGCUAUCAGAUGAGCCUAGGUCGGAUUAGCUAGUAGGUGAGGUAAAGGCUCACCUAGGCGACGAUCCGUAACUGGUCUGUGAGGAUGAUCAGUCACACUGGAACUGAGACACGGUCCAGACUCCUACGGGAGGCAGCAGUGGGGAAUAUUGGACAAUGGGCGAAAGCCUGAUCCAGCCAUGCCGCGUGUGUGAAGAAGGUCUUCGGAUCGUAAAGCACUUUAAGUUGGGAGGAAGGGCAGUAAGUUAAUACCUUGCUGUUUUGACGUUACCGACAGAAUAAGCACCGGCUAACUUCGUGCCAGCCGCCGCCGUAAUAC